UACGGAGGGUGCAAGCGUUAUCCGGAUUCACUGGGUUUAAAGGGUGCGUAGGCGGGCAGGUAAGUCCGUGGUGAAAGUCACAGGCUCAACCUGUGAAUGCCGCUGGAAACUGUCUGGCUAGAGUCCGGGAGGGGCGAGUGGAAUUCCUGGUGUAGCGGUGAAAUGCGCAGAUAUCAGGAAGAACACUAAUGGCGAAAGCAGCUCUCUGGGACGGUACUGACGCUGAGACGCGAAAGCGUGGGGAGCAAACGGG
rnacentral:rRNA from 1 species